CGUGUGCGGUCCUGGGUCUAACACUCAGCACCACCCGAGGAAAUGACACAGAGCUUGCUUUUCUCAGAAUAAGAUGUUCAAACUGCUCUUCUCAUACGCCGCCUGUAUCUUUUAACCUUUGUAUGGUUUGUUCCACACCUAGGGCACGCUCAGCAUCUUGUCGCUGUGGGACGCAUCCAGCAUCUUCAGAGACAAUUCAGAGAAGACUGGCCGUGAACCCUUUGUUUUCAAUUUCCUCGCCUUUUGGACCACUGUGUUGUGGACCAGCAGCUCUUCUUCACGUGAGAAGACAGACGCUUGAUGCAUCCAAAGGCCUGCUCUCUGGUUCCAAGUCUGCCCAGAUUUGUAUCAUUCGGUGAAUUUCCUGCUAACUGUUUGAGUAAAAGCAACGAGGUUAAAGGAGGCUUCUCGGUCCUUGUUCUUGCAGAACAGCCGGCUCUUUGUCCUUCUGGAGUCUCUGGGGCUCAGCCCCAGCCUCUUCUUGGAUAACAUGUUGCUCUUCGUCCUGCUGGGCCGCAGCCAGGAGAUCUGAAGCUUCAAACACUAGCUCUUUGCCAGAUCUUUUCUUCUGCCUGGAAAGCCCUUGCCAGACAGCCACAUUUCAUUCUGUCCGGUCCAGGCGUUUUAUCUGCUCUCCACCAGACCAACGCAAAAUGCUUCAUGUGCCGGCUGUGCAGGCAAUCCACUUCCAGUAUCUGUGUGUGCACACUCCCACCAUACCAGCCUGCUGUCUAAAGCGCCCCAGAGGUAUUUCUCAGGUUCUGGCAAAACCACCGAGAUGCUUCUCAAACAAAAACCUUUACAAUUUCAAAGAGUGUUGGGACAAUGGGAGUUUAGAUGCAUCCGGGGCUUUUUCUCUGUGCCUUUAUAUCAAACGCCUUUAUAUCAAACCCGCAGAACAGUGGGUGCCAGAUUCAGAUGUGAAGUGCUGAAAUUAUAAAAUGCAAAUGCCAUUUGGCAAGAGGGAAGUCUGAUGGAUUCAUAUUCAAAUGUUUGCAAAAUUGAACUCUUUGGCUUGUGUGUGUUCUAGAGUGCUGGCCAGAAACUUUAGAU